rnacentral:rRNA from 1 species
GUGAGGAAUUUUCCGCAAUGGGCGAAAGCCUGACGGAGCAAUGCCGCGUGAAGGAUGAAGGCCUAUGGGUUGUAAACUUCUUUUCUCAGAAAAGAAUUAUGACGGUAUCUGAGGAAUAAGCAUCGGCUAACUCUGUGCCAGCAGCCGCGGUAAGACAGUGGAUGCAAGCGUUAUCCGGAAUGAUUGGGCGUAAAGCGUCUGUAGGUUGUUUAAAAAGUAUUCUGUCAAAGAUUAGGGCUUAACCCUAGAUAGGCAGAAUAAACUUUUAAGCUAGAGUUUGGUAGAGGCAGAAGGAAUUCCCGGUGGAGCGGUGAAAUGCGUAGAUAUCGGGAGGAACACCAAAGGCGAAGGCACUCUGCUGGGCCAAUACUAACACUGAGAGACGAAAGCGAGGGGAGCAAAUGGGAUUAGAAACCCUGGUAGUCC